rnacentral:rRNA from 1 species
GACGAACGCUGGCGGCGUGCUUAACACAUGCAAGUCGAACGGAAAGGCUCUGCUUUUGUGGGGUGCUCGAGUGGCGAACGGGUGAGUAACACGUGAGUAACCUGCCCUUGACUUUGGGAUAACUUCAGGAAACUGGGGCUAAUACCGGAUAGGAGCUCCUGCUGCAUGGUGGGGGUUGGAAAGUUUCGGCGGUUGGGGAUGGACUCGCGGCUUAUCAGCUUGUUGGUGGGGUAGUGGCUUACCAAGGCUUUGACGGGUAGCCGGCCUGAGAGGGUGACCGGCCACAUUGGGACUGAGAUACGGCCCAGACUCCUACGGGAGGCAGCAGCGGGGAAUAUUGCACAAUGGGCGGAAGCCUGAUGCAGCAACGCCGCGUGCGGGAUGACGGCCUUCGGGUUGUAAACCGCUUUCGCCUGUGACGAAGCGUGAGUGACGGUAAUGGGUAAAGAAGCACCGGCUAACUACGUG